rnacentral:other from 1 species
AAUUGUCUAGGAUAUGCGAUAAGCCUAAUCAAGAAAAAACCGACUGUUUAACGACAUUGGGAAUCUAAUUUAUUGAUGGUGUUGAAGACCUAUUUCGUAUAGGGAUCCUAAAAUUGAUAAUGUGAUGCCCACCUGGUAGAAUGCUAGGUUUUUAUCGUUAACGGGCCCGCUAUCCUGGGCUUUUU